rnacentral:ncRNA from 2 species
UGACGCGUCCCCUGGAGAGACUUGUUAAAUCAAGCAUCGAAGAAGCAAUUCAUAAUUUGUAUAUUUAUGAGGAAACUUUCAGAUACAAGGACAGGGAGGUAGAG